UCACACGGUCGUGACCAGGUCCACGGUUUAUAUAUGUUUUUCAAAACCUGCCCAAAUGCUUAUUCUUUGUCCAAUAUUUGCAAAAUUUUGCAUAUUAAAUUCUCAAAGAUAGCUUUUGUAACUUACAUAAUUUAAUUUUGAUUUUAUAUUCCUGAAAUUUAAAUGUAUUGAUUUGAAUAUGCCCAAUUUGACGUAUUUUACCGGCUUUUAUGGUGCUUCAGAAAAAACUUGCAGAACACAGUAACUUAUCUUUUUCACGAAUCAGAUUGUCUUAAAACUUGCUAGAGGUGUUAAAUAUUGUACAUGGGUCUGUUGUUUGUGAAUAGCUACUCAAAAUAAUAAGAUUUACACGCUCUGAAAAUGACCUUUUUGUCUAAAAAUCUACAAAAAACAUGGCCGCGGUGUGCAAAUAAUGAGUUGCUUAUUUCAAAACUGUCCUAUUAUUCUUCAGUAAAACUUCUUGUUAAUUUAAGACUCUAAUAACUUGCUUGACAUACCCAUAGGCAAAUAUCUGUUUAUCGGUGUAAUUACACCUUUGAAGAAAAGCGUGAUUCGCACGUUUUAAUUUCAUCAUUCGCCGCCUGAAGAGACAAGAUGGCGGAGCUUGCGAAAUCGAAAAUUGGUACUUCAAAGUCAAUGGUUGAUCAUGAUGACCAUCUUUUAUUUAAUGGAGAAAGAAACCAAUAUUUGCAGCUGGACAGGCUGUCACCACAGUUCAAUGAUUUAGUUAAGACAAUGAAAUAGAAGAACUCAACACUUGCACCAGUGGAAGUACUUCUUAUUGGAUAGAGAACUUUUCAAGGUCAGACAUGAGCUUUUGAAGUUGCAGUUGCUUUCUUGGCGCAUCAUGCUGUCCAGUGGAGUUCAUACCAUAUGCCAGGCCUUUAUACAUGGUCAAAGAAGAUGAAUUUGUUAUUCAAUUUGUGAAAUUUGAUUUAGCGAGGACUUUCAUAUAUGAUGAUUAUAUUCAGCAGAUUAUCUUCAAGUGUGCACUUUAUAGAAUCACAGUUUCUAGGAGGUUUUCAGUUUAAAGUUAGAUUAAUUGAAAAAUAAGGGGAGCUAUCAUACUCACCAUGGUAUCAACAUUGGCAUUACACCAGGUUUAAGUUUUUCUUACCAGUCCAUAAUUUAAAAGGACCUUUUUACAGUAUUGAAACUUACAACAGUAAUGUAUCAUCAUUUUACCAAGUUUUAGGCAAGAGUACAUAACUCCAUCAAGGAUUUGACUUAACUAUGGCCCUUUGAAACUUUUGUCACUUGUUUAUAAUAAUAGUCUCUCUACAUAGGCAAGAGUUCAUAACACUGUAGAGUAUUUUGGAUGAAUUAUGUCCCUUUUGGACUUUGAAAUUGGUUCAGUUUUUGUACAAGUCCACAUUUUGACAAAACAUUUUGACAUAUAGCUUUCAACACUAAGUCUUACCAUUACAAUAAAAUAACUUAAAAUAGUUGUUCAACAUCAUCAAUCAUCACCCACAUCAUAUUACACAAGAUGCAUAACUCUUGCACUAAAAUUUAAUGAAUUGUGCCCGUUUUGCUUAAAAUGUACUUUGUAUAGUGUUUUGAUACACUUUAUCUUUAUCUCUCAUAUUACUUAAUAUUUUUAAAACAGACUUAGUUAUUAUGCAAUAUCUUCAUCCGCCGUUGGAGUCAUUAAACACAACAGUGACAGCUCCAGUGUUCUCAGAUGUGCCCAGGCUCACUAUCCAGAACCGAAAUAGUCGAGCAUGCUAACUGAGACAAUCAGGUAGAUAACUAUGGACAGAUUUUAUGUCAAUUCACCUCCCUUUAUUUAAAAUUGAAAUGGGUACAUCAGCGUAACUAAUGAAGAUACUGUUAUGCCAUCAGAUUGACUUGGACAGUCAGUGAAGAUACAUAUUGACUGAAUUUAUGACAAAAAUACCUCCCUUUAUUUUUUAUGUAAAUGAAUAUAUUUAGCAGCUUCUAAUGAAAUUGGUUUGAAAGGCUUUUUAUGUCUUCCAUGGUAAGAUAUAGUCAUGUUAGAUAACUCUUGAUUGAAUGUUUAUAGAUAUGAAUACUUCUCUUAUAUAUUAUUGUGAAACUUGUACUGUGUAUCUUCUACAUGCAUGUACCAAUACAUGAUUACCUUCCCUGAUUUUUAUAAAAAUGGAUUUAUCUCAGUAAGCAUAUAUAUAGGACUCAUUUGAAAUUUCAUUAUUGUCAUUAGUUGGACAGAGACAAUGAUUGUAGAUUAUAUUGACUGAUUUUAUGUCAAGUUACAUUCCUUCGUUUCUUGUUAAAAUAGGUGUAUCUCUGUAACCAGUGAAGAUACUGAUUUGAAGUGUCAUUUAUGCCAUGAGAUGGACUCGGACAAUCAGGGUAGAUAACUUUUGACUGAAUUUAUGACAAAUAACCUCCCUUUAUUUUAUGUAAAUGAAUAUAUAUCUCAGCAGCAUCAUGAGAUUGCUUUAAAAUGUUAUGUAAGUCUUCCAGGGUAAGAAAUAGUCAUGCCAGUACAAAAAUGCUGCAUUUGAGCCUAGGACCCUCAAACAUGAUAUGGAGAUUGGCCCUGACUAGUAUGUGACCCAUAGGUCAAAAGGCACUGUUACAAUGAAUUUUUUAUCCUGAUGAUAUUUAAUGUGUAGCACUCUCGUCUAAAGUAUUUUUGAUUUAUUAGGAAAACAGCAGUAUUGGACAGAACUGGAUGAAAAGUACAUUGUUAGAACUUCAAAUAUGCAACAUAAAGGUGAAUAUAGGUAAAUAUAUAAAUUCUCACCACAGGAUGUGUGGGUUAGUGGCUUUGAUUUGUGUAAAUUCUGUACAUAGGUCUAUAACCUUAAUCUGCUGAGAAUUUUUUCCCUUAAAUGAUGGAUAAGUCUUUAAUAUUGAAAUAAAUUUGCAUCUGUGCUUCUAUGGCAUUAUUAGGAAAGACACGUUAUUAUACAUUGUAACAGUUGGUGUUUAGAUCCUAUAAUUUGUUGAUUUAUUAAUAAUAAAACAUAAAAUAAAUGUUGAAAGUUUCAUAAAA